CGAGCGCCCCGCAAGGGGAGCGGCAGACGGGUGAGUAACGCGUGGGAAUCUACCCAGCUCUACGGAAUAACCCAGGGAAACUUGGACUAAUACCGUAUACGUCCUUCGGGAGAAAGAUUUAUCGGAGUUGGAUGAGCCCGCGUUGGAUUAGCUAGUUGGUGGGGUAAAGGCCUACCAAGGCGACGAUCCAUAGCUGGUCUGAGAGGAUGAUCAGCCACACUGGGACUGAGACACGGCCCAGACUCCUACGGGAGGCAGCAGUGGGGAAUAUUGGACAAUGGGCGCAAGCCUGAUCCAGCCAUGCCGCGUGAGUGAUGAAGGCCCUAGGGUUGUAAAGCUCUUUCAACGGUGAAGAUAAUGACGGUAACCGUAGAAGAAGCCCCGGCUAACUUCGUGCCAGCAGCCGCGGUAAUACGAAGGGGGCUAGCGUUGUUCGGAAUUACUGGGCGUAAAGCGCACGUAGGCGGAUCGAUCAGUUAGGGGUGAAAUCCCAGGGCUCAACCCUGGAACUGCCUCUAAUACUGUCGAUCUGGAGUUCGAGAGAGGUGAGUGGAAUUCCGAGUGUAGAGGUGAAAUUCGUAGAUAUUCGGAGGAACACCAGCGGCGAAGGCGGCUCACUGGCUCGAUACUGAC
rnacentral:rRNA from 1 species